GUCGCCUCCACCUGAGUCUCUGAGUGGAGCGGAGGACGACUCCAAGAGCUCCAAAGUGGUGGGCUGGUUCGUCCAGGGACUAGGCCUCAGGAUGCCCCAACCCGUCCCAAAAAACAGAGAUGACGCCGGGGUGACAGCUGAAGUUCUACAAAAUGUGGGAAAGGCGCUGAGAGCCCCUUAAACAAAAGGAGAAAGAAGACUGAGGAACAGUCUGUCAGACAGAGACAGAUACUAACAGACAGACAGACAGACACACAGACAGACAGACAGAC